CCUCAUUCCUGUUCCUGCUGCACCCACCCGAAUCCGACACGCUCCUUGCAAGUGCAGAGAGAUUCAAUGACAGGGAAGAGCACAAGGUUUUGCUGAGGAAAGUGCACUCUCUUUACUGCUGCUGCUGUUGGAUUUUAAACUGAGCCUCUUCUGAAGCAACAGUGAGAGAACACCUUUGCUCUUCCUGCCCCUCCAGGGCAGAUCCCAAGGAAUUCAUGACAGGAGUGCAGUGAGGAGGCUCUGCUGGUGCAGAUGGGUCACAGAAGCCCUUUGUGCUGUGUCACAGCUGGCCCAGGCUCAGGCAUUCACAGCCCAUUGUGCUCCACUUGAAUGGACAUUUCUGGGACUUUCCUUGGGCUGCAUUCAUUUUUACACAAAAAAUGAGCAUUUUUUGUCAACAAUCAGUUCUUUACACAUUUUGGCACCUGACCUACACAUGACACACCCAGUCAAGCUGCAUGAUACAUUACAUUAGUGCUGCAAGGAAAGACAUAUGCCUAUAUAGAUAGAUAUAGAUAUAGAUACAGAUAUAGAUGUAAUAUAUAUUUAUACAUGUGCACUGUAUUGUUUUUCCAAAGUGUCAGAUCACUACAUUAUAACAGAGAGGCUAUUACAGACAGGUUUAGUUAGCUGUGCAUCAUUUCACACCUUCAUUACAAUCUUUACUGGGAAAAUGGAUUGCUUUUGAGCCUCUCUCCAUUCUCAUUAAACUUCCACUCUUGCGAGGUGUCAGAACUGUAAAAUGCUAAUACAGACAGUUAAUUAUAACACCACUCACUACUUCAGCCUUUUCAAUUACCCACAUUUCCUCUGGCUGGAGCAGCCAAGCUCCCAUCCACAGUGAGCCAGAGCACCACUAACAAGGGAGACCAAAGGGUGGGCAGGGGACAACACACUCUGCCAGCCCAUGCAGAACCUGGAAAACCAUCAGAAAGCUUCCCACCAGCAGGAAACACCAUUUCUUGGGAGGUGGAAUGGGAGGUUUGUGAUCGUGCAAGGAUGAAAAAUGGAGAUACAGAGUUGUUUUCAACUUCCUUUGCUAGUACUGCACCGAGCAACAGGCACAGACACAAUCAAGGAAGUUUGGAAGAGGCACUGCUGGCAUGCAGUGGAAAGCCCAGCGCUGCUGGAAACGAGGGCUCGACAGCAGACAAUCAGCAGAAGAUGCAGGAUGCUCAAAAACACGGCAUGUGUCCAUUAGGGAGCUCAGCUCGCUUUAGGCUCUAAUGCAUCUGGACUCCAGAGGCUUCAGGCUUCUCUGUCACUGGGAUAUGUGCUACUUC
rnacentral:lncRNA from 1 species